rnacentral:tRNA from 1 species
CCGAAUGUGGCGCAGUUGGUAGCGUGCCUGUUUUGGGUACAGGAGGCCGCAUGUUCAAAUCAUGCCAUUCGG